AUCAUGGCUCAGAUUGAACGCUGGCGGCAGGCCUAACACAUGCAAGUCGAGCGGAAACGAGUUAACUGAACCUUCGGGGAACGUUAACGGCGUCGAGCGGCGGACGGGUGAGUAAUGCCUGGGAAAUUGCCCUGAUGUGGGGGAUAACCAUUGGAAACGAUGGCUAAUACCGCAUAAUAGCUUCGGCUCAAAGAGGGGGACCUUCGGGCCUCUCGCGUCAGGAUAUGCCCAGGUGGGAUUAGCUAGUUGGUGAGGUAAGGGCUCACCAAGGCGACGAUCCCUAGCUGGUCUGAGAGGAUGAUCAGCCACACUGGAACUGAGACACGGUCCAGACUCCUACGGGAGGCAGCAGUGGGGAAUAUUGCACAAUGGGCGCAAGCCUGAUGCAGCCAUGCCGCGUGUAUGAAGAAGGCCUUCGGGUUGUAAAGUACUUUCAGCAGUGAGGAAGGUUCAUGCGUUAAUAGCGU
rnacentral:rRNA from 1 species